ACGCUUUUUUGAUGUUUUCCUUAUUUAAGUCGAUCAUGCUUAUUUUCUUCUUUGUUCAACUUCCUCGAUGGCAUCGAAAGCACGGCACCGCCUUAAAUUAUGAUGGUUUUUGCCUUCCUGUUGAAGCCUCGUAAGUUAUUUAUGGAACUUCGCGUACAAAACCAGAAGUAAUUGUUCAAAGAAAAGAAAACCCAAAGUAACAAAAAACAAAGGCAAGCCCCCCAAUUCAUACCUUCACGAACCACGAGCAAGAGCACACAGUUUUUAUUUUAUUUUUUCUUUUCUAGUUUGCUUUGGUCCCUGGUUGGUACUUGGAAAGAAAAAAAGGAACUCAGUCUGAAUAAAAAAAAAAAAGCAAUGGCGAAAUCAAUCGUUUCAGCCGUUUUGGAGAAGUUGAGUUCCUUCUUAAUGAUACCUGGAGAGAUAAAACACAACUUUGAGUUGGCCUUAGCUCUCGAAGAGGAAAUUGGAAAAGUGAUUGCUCAUUUUCAGGAUAUUCAAUCAGUACUCCAAGAUGCAGAAUCAAAACAGGUAAAGGAUGCGAAUGUGAGAAAUUGGUUGAAGAAACUGAAAGAUGUAGCCUAUGAUGUUGAUGAUGUGUUGGACGAGUGGAAUUCUGAGAAACUGAAAUCACAGAUUGAGAAAGAACAAAAAGAAGCCAGAAAUUUCCCCUUGCUGAAGAAGAUGCGCAAUUCUAUCUCUUCUUUUACCUUUCAAACUAUUCUAUACUAUAAAAUUGCAUCCAAGCUAAACGGAGUAAAUGAACAACUUGAUAGUAUAGCUACUGAAAAAGAUAGGUAUAAGUUCGGGUUAGAGAAGGUAGUUGAAGAACCCCGAAGGCUAAUAACUGCCUCUUUCAUAGAUGAUGAAGAAGUUUAUGGAAGGUGUCAAGAGACAGAGAUUCUAGUGAAUGUGUUGGUGGGGGAGAAUAGUAGUGGAGGAGGGUUGAAGCUCCCUGUCAUAUCUAUCAUGGGGAUGGGGGGAAUUGGGAAAACGACACUUGCUCAACUGGUUUACAAUCACAGUGAUGUUGAAUGUCAUUUUGAUAAGAGAAUAUGGAUAUGUGUCUCAGACCCUUUUGAUGAGAUAAGGAUUGCCAAAGAGAUCCUUGAAGCAUUUAAAGGCGAAAGUUUGAAUUUAGUUGGAAAGGAUAACAUCUUGCAGGAAAUUCGUAGCCAUGUUUCAGGGAAGAAAGUACUUCUUGUGUUGGAUGACGUGUGGAGUGAAGAUGCAACAAGAUGGGAGCAAUUGAGAACCUCCCUCAAGCAUUGCUCUCCUGGGAGUAGAAUUUUGAUAACCACUCGGAACGAAAAAGUUGCUAUAAUAAUGGGAACAACAUCUUCAAACUUAUUUCUAUUAAAUACUUUGUCUCUAGAGGAAUGUUGGUCAUUACUUAGCCGUAGAGCAUACUAUGGGAGGACAAGAGAGGAAUGUGAAAAUUUAGAUGAUAUUGGUUGGAAAAUUGCUGAAAAGUGCCAGGGCUUGCCCCUUGCUGCGAAGAUUCUAGGUGGUCUCUUGCGGUUCAAGAGAACCAGAGAACAAUGGCAGAAUGUAUUGGAUAGUGAAAUGUGGGACAUUGAAGAGGCUGAACAAGAUCUUUUCCCUCCCUUAUUUUUGAGUUAUUAUGAGCUGCCUUUGGCUUUUAAGCAGUGCAUUUCAUAUUGUGCUGUCUUUCCGAAAGGUAUGAUCUUAAGAAAAGAUGAAUUGAUCAAGCUGUGGAUGGCGCAAGAUUACUUGAAGGGAGUGCGGUGUGAAGAGAUGGAGAUUGUUGGUGAGGAAUAUUUUGAUGAGCUACAUAUGCGUUCAUUUUUUCAGGAUUUUAGAGGGGAUGAACUAGACAGCGGUAUUAUGAAAUACAAAAUGCAUGAUAUAAUUCAUGAUUUUCUUCUAGUUUUAAUGAAAACCGAAUGUGUGAUGCUAGUAAACCAUGAUUCUGAAGAGUUAAAAGCAGACUUGUCAUGUGAAAGUGCUCGCUAUGGAACACUGAUUCGUAAAGAAGCUGCACCAACAGAACCUAAUAUUUUCCGUUUCAGAAAGUUGCGUAGCCUCCUUAUUGACUCAAGCUAUCAUGAUACCUCAUCACUAAGACUAUAUUUGCCCAGGUUGUUUGAUCAAUUGACUUGCCUAAGGACUUUAAAUUUGAGUAACGGUUUAUUCAGAAAUUCAAUUGAAGAACUUCCUGAUGAGAUAGGAAAAUUGGUUCACUUGAGAUAUCUUAACUUGAAGAACAAUAAAAAAUUGAAAGAAUUACCUGAAUCACUGUGUGGGUUAUGUAAUUUACAGACCUUAAACCUCAAAUGGUGUGAUAGUCUUAAAGAAUUACCGUGUGGAAUUGGAAAAAUAAUCAACUUGAGGCAUCUUGAGAAUGAUCAAACAAACUUGAGCCUGAUGGCAAUACCAAAAGGAAUUGGAAGAUUAACGAACCUUCAGACACUAAGUUUGUUUGUUGUAAUGGGUAAUAGCGAUACAUCUAGUCUUGGAGAUCUUCAAAACUUAAUUCAUCUUCGAGGACUUCUUAAGAUAAGUGGACUGGGAGCUGUGUGUGAUGUGACUGAAGCUAAGAAAGCAGAGCUUGAAAACAAGAAAGGCCUUCGGACUUUGAUACUAGAUUUUACUAUUUCGAAGGGGUUAAUGUCAAAUAGGUGGCAGAGAGAUGAUGGAAGACUCCUUGAAGCUCUACGACCACCUCCUUACUUGGAAGAGCUAGAGAUAUGGUGGUACAGUAGCCCCACCAUCUCUGCCAACUGGAUGAUGGGCUUGACCAAGUUGAGCCAUGUUUCAUUGGGUUAUUGCUUGCACUUGAAGUCUUUGCCUCCCUUGGGGAAAUUGCCAUCCCUUGAAUCACUCUAUAUAGGGGGAAUGAGCAGAGUGGAAAAAGUGUCAGUUGAGUUUCUGGGUGUAGAAAGAGAAGAGAUAUUAGCACCUUCAUCAUCUUUGGAAUCACCUUUAUCAUCUGUUAUUGCCUUCCCUAGUCUAAAACAUCUUGAAUUUGAAUUUUUUGAUUUGGAAGAGUGGGAGGAUUGGAUGCCAUUAACAAGCAGAGAAGAACAUAUUAGCAUCAUGCCUCGGCUUUGUUCCCUAACUAUUAAUUCCUGCCCAAAGUUAAAGGCACUGCCCUGCUACGUUCUUCAUAAUACAAGUCUAAAGCAAUUGAACAUCAGUCAGAGUCCAAUUCUUUCAGAACGUUGCAGAAAGGAGACCGGGGAGGACUGGCUAAAGAUUUCUCACAUCCCAAGCAUCAUGAUCGACAGUGUACGCAUACAAGUAAACUGCUCUUCUGUUGAGGAGUUCGGGGUAUUGCAAUUUCAACCACUACACAGCUCUUCGUUAAGUUCGAAAAAUUUUCUCAAAGCGUUCAGUCAGAAUUGACGUGUAUUACAGGAGAGACAGGAACUGUGUUUUAAGGCAAGUUACAUGGGAUGCCACUGGCAAGAAGGAAGGUGACUGGAGCAUGUUGUGCCUCUUUGUAUCUCACGUUUUUUUCUUAGUAGAGGUCGACAAGUUCGUUGUACAAAGGGUUAUUGAACGAAGGCGUGAUCGCUCAUCCUUCUUGGAAUUGGUCAUUCAGCCUUCUUUGUUUGCAAGCUUUGAUCUCAUCAAGGAUGAAUAGAGCUUUAAGAUUUUCAACUGGAUUACAGAGGCGUUGGGUAGCAACAAUCUCUUCCCCAGGUAUAUAUAUAGCGGAGUAUCAGAAAAUCUCAUAAUAAGUAUCCCAUAUUCACAUGUAGACAAACACCAGGAUCUGAUGAAAGGAAAUGCUAAACCCGCAUUUUGCUAUAAAGCAAUGUAAUUUUCUAUCAAAAACGUCACUUGACUCAAGGAAGCCAGUGAGCAAUUUAAUCUAAAACUGAAUAGGUUAUUUAUUGGUAUUAAUAAAAUAUAGAUGAAGACGUAGCAGAGCAUGAGGUGAAAGUUUUUGAAGCAAAAAAUUAAAGAAUUAUAAACUUUAGAAGGAUAGUAGUCCAAUAGAUAUGAGAGGAAAGGAAAGAUGCGUUCCAAUUUUCAA